rnacentral:sRNA from 1 species
AUAUAUAGCAUCUGGGGCCCAGUUUGGGGUAAAAUACACUCUAAGGAAAUAGGUCUUCUGACUGCAGUGUCAAUAGUGAAGCAAUUUCAGCCUUCCAGAUAAUAUUUUUUUUCCAGAACCGGUAUUCAUUUCAGAAAGUUUGCCCUACCUUUUGUAGGUCAGAUUAUCCACAGCUGCCUAUAAAUACUUUCCCUACUAGGAACAAUGAUACUACAUUUGGGAGAAAGAAAAUUGUCCGGCACUUAAGAGACCACAAGAUGCCUCUUAGUCUACUAGUGGAUGUGUAGAGUACAAGAAGUUCCACCUGGUGCCACUAGGGUGGGUCAGUCGCGCAGGAUGGUUUAUCAGGAAGUCUCUCAAGCAGAAAUUUCUCUUCGUCAGCGCGCCAUGCUCAUUUCACAGGGUGUAAGCUGAUGUUCCUGAUGAUCACACUUCAGCAUUUUCAGGUCUGCUGUGACUUCUGAAUCCAGGAAAAAGGCCGACUCAGCAUGGUGUGGCUAAGCGUGACCUGCUGUAGGUGUUCAGUACUCAAGCCUCAUUAAAUCCUAGUGUGUGACUGUCUGAUAAGCAGGGCUUGCUUGUAAACAGUUGAUACUCAGUUCACAGGAAUAAGUAUCUGUAGGCUUUAAUUUGAUGACAUAAAUCUCAGAGGGCUUGCUUGGUUUUGAGUUUCAAAUAACAAUUUAAAUGUCGCCACUAACACGUGAGUAUCUUUGUAACUCUUGGGACAGUGGAAGUGAAUUUCAGCAUACCUGUUGUGUGAUGGAGGAAAAACUGGUCCUCUCUGUGGUGUGGUGCACCUCUUUCACCUGGCUUCCACCCUGAGCUAAAACAUCCUAGAUCUCCCAACUGGUGACCCUUGGAGUGAAGUUUGUCAAACAGCAGAGCGGUGUGACUCAGGAGUCCAUUUUAUAAAUGCCUUCUAACUAUAACAUCAGUCUAAACAUUCAGGAUUUUGACCUCAAGGUGUGAACCCCAAACAUUUUCUCUUAAAAACUCUCCUAACGCCUAUUUAAAUGCAGGUGGUUUUAUCAUUUCCUCCUCUCUCCUCUUAGGUAUUUUAAUGAGAUGUCUGCACAAGGAUUAAGACCUCGCACUGUGUCCAGCCCGAUCCCUUACACGCCUUCUCCGAGUUCAAGCAGGCCUAUAUCACCUGGUCUAUCAUAUGCAAGUCACACGGUUGGUUUCACGCCACCAACUUCACUGACUAGAGCCGGAAUGUCUUAUUACAAUUCCCCGGGUCUUCACGUGCAGCACAUGGGAACAUCCCAUGGUAUCACCAGGCCUUCACCACGGAGAAGCAACAGUCCUGACAAAUUCAAACGGCCCACGCCGCCUCCAUCUCCCAACACACAGACCCCAGUCCAGCCACCUCCACCUCCACCUCCGCCACCCAUGCAGCCCACGGUCCCCUCAGCAGCCACCUCGCAGCCCACUCCUUCGCAACAUUCGGCGCACCCCUCCUCCCAGCCUUAAUGCAUGAGCUUAGUCUGAAUUUCAAGUUGGGACUCAUCCAAUGGAGCCGUCUACUCAACGCCAAAGGCUUCCUUCUCUGGCAUAUUUGGAUAUGACUUAUUUGCACUGAGGUUAUCUAGGCUUCACUAUCCAUUGUGUUGUAAAUGUUUGUCAGAAAUGCAGCCAGUGUUGUGGGUCUACAACACUAACCAGACGACUUUUUCCAUCAGUGUUUUACUUGAAUCUUCAUGUACGUCCAUUCCCUGGCUGGAACCUUCGCUGUUCGGUAUUUGGUAUUUCAGCAGCAGUGUGCAAUUUUUGCUUGGCCCAGAGCUUCAUUCUCCUGGCUUUAGGUUUGUAAAAGAAAAAGGGAUAUCUUUUUUAUAUUUUUUUUCCGUGAAUCUGCAGAAAAUUACUGAGCUGUUGUUACCCUCUUCUCAUUAUAAUAGUGUUUACCAAACAUACCAAUAAUUCAGCACUACAAUUCAGACCUUUGAAAAUCUGGCUUUCAGUAUAGAACAGAAAGUUAGAUGAAUCAGUGCCCAAGACAUAUUUUCUGUUUAACAGAACUUUCUACAGAUACAUUUUUUACAGGUUAUUUUCAUUGUGUUAUUGACAUCCAUGUCUCUCGUAAAACAGAUGGCCCAAAGUAAUGAAUCAUGUGGCUGUACCUUCUCCACAUAAAUGGGAUGGAUAAUUAUUGUAUAUUAAGAUGUGAUUCUCCUUUUUAUCCUUAAUGUUAAUCUACUUAACCUGGCCCCCUCUAACAUGAGUUGAUAAAUGUUGUCCUACUCACCCGUGGUUUCAAUGGCUAAUUAGAAUGUGUUAUUUGAUUUCUGCUGCAGAAGGCAGUGUGAUUGUAACAAAAACAAUGCGGCUUCCCCCUUUCGUACUUCAUUUGUGUUCUCUUAAAAUAGAGUUUGAACAAAUAUUUUAAAGGUGCAAAAUACUAUUAGAAAAUACUAUUUGAAAUGGACAUUAUCGGAUUAUCUUGUCAUAAUGGCCAGAAAAUACUGUAUUGCUUGGAAAAAAAGAAAAAAGGUCUAAAGGAAAGUAGCACAUUAGCACUGAUGGCUGCUCAUUUCACCCAGUGUAAGCAAGUGCAGUGUACAAAGAAGUAUAUUCUGAAUACAUUAUUUCCAUUCAUUUAGCACAAAUAAAUCAUUUGGUUUCACUUUGCAGUGG